AGGGGCGGGGCUUAGUGGUGUAGCAUCUGCCUUGCAUGCAGAAGGUCUCAUGAUCAACCCCUGCCACCUCCA